rnacentral:rRNA from 2 species
ACGAAAAAUAACGAUACGGGACUCAUCCGAGGCCCCGUAAUCGGAAUGAGUACACUCUAAACCCUUUAACGAGGAUCAAUUGGAGGGCAAGUCUGGUGCCAGCAGCCGCGGUAAUUCCAGCUCCAAUAGCGUAUAUUAAAGUUGUUGCGGUUAAAAAGCUCGUAGUCGAAUUUGUGUCCCGCGCCGCCGGUUCAUCGCUCGCGGUGUCAACUGGCGUGUCCGCGGGACGUCCUGCCGGUGGGCUUAGCCUCCUUCCGGGGGGCGGCCCAAUAUAAAUCCCACCGCGGUGCUCUUCACUGAGUGUCGAGGUGGGCCGGCACGUUUACUUUGAACAAAUUAGAGUGCUUAAAGCAGGCUAAAAUAUCGCCUGAAUACUGUGUGCAUGGAAUAAUGGAAUAGGACCUCGGUUCUAUUUUGUUGGUUUUCGGAACCCCGAGGUAAUGAUUAAUAGGAACGGAUGGGGGCAUUCGUAUUGCGACGUUAGAGGUGAAAUUCUUGGAUCGUCGCAAGACGGACAUAAGCGAAAGCAUUUGCCAAAAACGCUUUCAUUGAUCAAGAACGAAAGUUAGAGGUUCGAAGGCGAUCAGAUACCGCCCUAGUUCUAACCAUAAACGAUGCCAGCUAGCGAUCCGCCGACGUUCCUCCGAUGACUCGGCGGGCAGCUUCCGGGAAACCAAAGCUUUUCGGUUCCGGGGGAAGUAUGGUUGCAAAGCUGAAACUUAAAGGAAUUGACGGAAGGGCACCACCAGGAGUGGAGCCUGCGGCUUAAUUUGACUCAACACGGGAAACCUCACCAGGCCCGGACACCGGAAGGAUUGACAGAUUGAGAGC